GAACUUGGGUGUUCCUGGAGCAGAGGAACAGGGACUGAAGUGUCCAGUAGGGCGGAGGCGGAGGCCCAGAGGCAGGAUGAAAAACCACAGUCUGAGAGCUGGUAGAGAGUGCCCGAGAGGCCUGCAGGAGACUUCGGACCUGCUUUCACAACUGCAGAGCCUCCUGGGGCCACACCUUGACAAAGGUGACUUUGGUCAGCUCUCCGGUCCAGACCCCCCAGGUGAAGUGGGCGAAAGAGCACCUGAUGGAGCCUCCCAGUCCUCUCAUGAGCCUAUGGAAGAUGCUGCUCCCAUUCUCUCCCCGUUAGCUUCCCCGGAUCCUCAAGCCAAGCAUCCUCAGGAUCUGGCCUCCACCCCAUCACCAGGCCCAAUGACCACCUCAGUCUCCUCCCUAAGUGCCUCCCAGCCACCAGAACCUUCCCUUCCCCUAGAACACCCCUCACCCGAGCCACCUGCACUUUUCCCUCACCCACCACACACCCCUGAUCCUCUGGCCUGCUCUCCGCCUCCUCCAAAAGGCUUCACUGCUCCUCCCCUGCGGGACUCCACACUGAU
rnacentral:lncRNA from 1 species